rnacentral:tRNA from 1 species
GAAAGAAGUAGCUUAAUACAAAGCAUAACACUGAAAAUGUUAAGAUAGCCUACUAACUCUCUCUCACCA